UAAGAUUGAUAAGAGUCUUGUUCGCUUGCUUGUUAUGCUUAAGAAUUUCAUGUGCCAAUUGAGGUACAUAAUGCCCCGCGUAACUCUCACCAGAAAUGUAAAAAUCUCUCUUCUUAUACUCGGGAAAUCUCUCGAGCCAAUUGAGUAAAAACACAACAUUAUCAUUAGCAGUUCUACUAUCUCCAGUUGUAUUGAAGUCACUGCUUGUAUUUGUAUAUGAAAAUCCUACUCCAGCAGGAGACUCCAAAAACAACACAUUGGCAACUAUAUUCAACAGAAGAAAAUUAUUACUCCGAGUUGAGAAUUGUUUCAUUCAAACAUUAAUAGGAAAUCAUGUUACACAAAAAAGAGAAACUUUUUUUUUACCAAGAUUCCACGCAUAAUGAUUCCUAUGUAAUGUUUUUCCAUCACUGUUAACUCUGAAUGGACCAAGCUCCUCCAUUGCACCAUAUGCAAUAGAAGAACAUCCAGGGCCUGAAGAAAGGAUACACGUCAUUUUUAGUAUGGUUUCAUAAUCAGAACCAACUUUCGAAAUGUUUCUGUAUAUUUUUCAGAUCUCUUAUGUGUUAAAAUGAAGAUCGGUAUCAGAACUAUAUAGAUCUAGAAGAAAAUCUUUUUUUCUGAUCUUUAUGUGUUAAUACGAAGAUGUAAAAACCAUAAAAUUUUAGAAAUAUUCAGGUGGAGUAAUGUAGAGUCCUUUCCCUUUUUUGUUUUUUUGAUCCAAGACAAGAAAAUAACUUUCCAAACAGGAUGCUAAAAAGAUAUAGACAAUUGCUGUUUGUAUAUACCUCCAUUAAGCCAGAGAAGCAAAGGCAAAGACUUGGAAUUCUCAGCUUCAGUGAAGUAAUAGUAUAAAGCACGGCCAGCAGAUCCAUCGACAGUAACAUAGCCACCAUAUUGUUGGAACUUUACUGGUGGUUGUCCAGGCAGUUUCUUGAUCCAAUCUUUAUCUUUUAAUCCCUCCUGUGGAAGAAUAACUUUGUCCAAUUCUACAUUUUCAACGGCUGCCGCCUUAUAGUAAUCGUUGCCAAAAGCUGAAUCCUGCUUGGCCUUGUAAUAUUUUCCAAGAACUUCACUUUGCUUCUUUCCAAGGCUUGAAGCAAUAAAGUUGGAGAAAAAGAGGGCAAAAAGAAGGAAGAAGGAAGUGAAUUUUCCCAUAGUUGUGUGUGUGUUGUGUUGAAAAGUUGAUUGAGAUGAAUGGUAUUUAUCAUGAAAUUGUGGAAUAGAUUUCUUGAAUUUAAUAAUUUUACUAUUAUAAAUAUCAGAAAUUGGCACUAUAUAAUAAUGGUAUGUCAAUCAAAUUCAAAAAGUGUUCUAAUAAAGUAAUAAUAUGAAUGAAUGAAUAUUUCAAUGAUAUUUCCUUACAAGAGGUUAAACAUUUUCUUAUUAAGAUGAAUUAUUUUGCAUUUGUGACACCAGAAUAGAACUUUUUUUAGCUUGUAUGCCUUUUGUCAUCCAUUGUCAAUUGAAACAUAAUCAUUUCGUAUCACCUAGCUAUAGAAAUACAAAGAACGAAUUACUUGAAAAUUCUCUGAAGAUGCUAGUUGCACUUACGCUAAACAUUUGAUAUAGUCUUGGCAAUGUUUAGCUUGACAAUAAUCAUAACUGGGCAGUUUACCUUAACAUGUUUGAUUCACAGACAAACAGGUUUCAAAAGAGAAGAACAGAGAAUCGCGUUUAUAUUAAUUAAUUUUUAUCUAAGAAAGUUUGUAAAAAUGAUUCUUAAUUACACAAAAAGAGGAUGUGCUAGAUAGGUUAAUGAUCUCCAGGGGGUAAUGUGCCAGACAGGAAAUGAGAAAUGAUGGAAAGGGCUCUAGCAGGUUGGUAACUUGGAACUUCAUGUCCCGCGCCUCUUACUGUUGCAAAUGCUAGACCUCCUUUAUAUGUCUCAACGUAUCCUCCAACCUGCAACAUAUAUAUCCAAUAAACAUUGAGAAAUAUUGAAUCAAAAGUCGUUUCACGAGCAUAUUUUGUUUUUUUUUUUCUUACCUCUCCUCCAUUCAACAAAGAGCGCCAAGGUAGAUCAACUGUAAGGUUCAUUGCUUGUAUUGAUCUCUUUGAAGAAGUAACAGGCACCCUUCCAUCUGUAUCACCACUGCAUUUAAUAUCCAAGUACAAAUAUAUGUUAAACAUUUUGUAAAAGAUGAUCAGAAAUAAAAAAAUAGUAUAAUGAGGGAAAAGAUUACCUAAAAAUCCACACGCGGACACCAUUUGCCAACGACUCUUUGAGGAGAGGAAUUAUAGUGACCGGGCUGUCCUUCCAAUCAUAAAAGAGUGAAUCGCUGAAAUAGAAAAGAAUUAUAAGCAGUGAAGCACAAACAAGUAGUAAAGCAUUUGUAUGAAUUUCAGUAUUUGUAUAUGGGAUAAUAACCUGCAAGAUGUCCACUCAUAUUUGAGGUUGGUAACGUUGGCAUGAAGUGCAUCUUGAACAUCGCGCCUGUUCAUGUAAGCAUAAAUAUACUUGUCGGAACAGGGGUCAAUCUGUAAUGGCUGCAUCAAAAAUCACUCAUUAACGUAAACUCAAUGUUUCUACAUUAUCUUAUACGAGAUAGAAUGUAAGCAAAAAUGCAGAGUUAUCCCACUUACUGUCGGUGUUUUUGGGUAUUUCGUGAGAUUCUCAUCCUUACAAAGGGGAUAAUAGAUGUUGUAGAUGUCAAGAUUGUUCAAAUUUUUGUUUGUAACUUCAGCUGCCUUUUCGCACUUGCUCUGAUUGUAGUUAUCAUCAUAACAACUAUUCAGGAUGUCAUGGUACGUUUCAUCCGAAAUUAAGGCAUGAGAUGCAAAGUACUCGUACAUUCCGAUAGUGUCUGUGUCAUCAUUAAUCACAGCAUUACCAAUCUGCAAUUUGUCACAUGGAACUUUUUAGUACAAUUUAACUUAUGUACACUGACAAUUGUAACUAAUCACUUACAAUUAUUCCCUUAAGAUUGAUAAGAGUCUUGUUCGCUUGCUUGUUAUGCUUAAGAAUUUCAUGUGCCAAUUGAGGUACAUAAUGCCCCGCGUAACUCUCACCAGAAAUGUAAAAAUCUCUCUUCUUAUACUCGGGAAAUCUCUCAAGCCAAUUGAGUAAAAACACAACAUUAUCAUUAGCAGUUGUACUAUCUCCAGUUGUAUUGAAAUCACUGCUUGUAUUU
rnacentral:lncRNA from 1 species